UUCCCGCUUGUUUCCGUUCACAUUUUCCCCAUCUCAUGAAUUUCUCACCCUCACAAACCCUAAUUGAACCCCAAGUCUCUCUGUCAGAUCCAUCUCGUUCCCUAACUGAUACCUUCCGGUGCACCAUCGCUGCCCUAUUGAACCGUCGUUGCCCUCUAGUGCACCACGUCUCUCUUGUUCGCUACAGCCCCUGUGUGCAAUUGUCCACUAAUUUUAUUCACAAUUGUCUAAGUACCUUUGUUGUGGCUAAAUCUCUGUUUUUAUCUGCUCAUUAUGAUGUUUAGAAUAUGUGCAUACCAAGGGUUUAAUGAAAUGUUUGUGUUAGUUUUCCCCUCUAAUUUUAUUCACAAUUGUCUAAGUACCUUUGUUGCAAUUGUUGUUGAUUGUGCGUAGGUUGAGUUUGACAUGGUGAAGGUUCAUGUACUUACAAGGGAUAAAAGUUGGAACUGUUGAACGCGCUUCAGGUUACCGAGUCAUUCAUGCCCAAGGGACUGCAACUGUUGUACUCUUUGAUUCCAUAGUGGUAUCCUUUGUGUAACCUGUUGGUUUGUUGUUUCCCUUACACACUUUUUAUUCCAAUUCCAGUUGUCUUCAUAUUCAGUCCUACUUGUCAAGAUUGUUAUUCGCUUUGCCCUCCAGGAUAAGCCAAUCCCUUAAAAAGGUCCUUGCAUGUGAAGUCGAUGAUAUAGAGUCAUUUAUGAAAAUUAUAAACAUAUGAAGCCAACAAAUACUCUGAUUUGAAAACACAUUCAAUCUAACAUAAAAAAAAAAAUAAUGAAAAGGAAGCAAAGUAUAAACUAUGGACAGGACACGGUGCCAUGUUCCUCGGUGUGUUUUUAUCUAUCUUUAAGGUGAAGACUUUGUCAGAAUUCAGAACCAUCCAAUAUAUACUAUAGUUUCACAACCGCACAGGGAAGCCAUCAUGAACCACUUAAGGAUGUAUUGAUGUUAACGGUGCAUAGAGUUUUCAGAAGACUAAAAAGAAUAUUAGCUUAACACCAUUGGUCUGCUUUGGAUUUCGACUGACUUUAUCACCAAGGGUCCGCUGGAGGGUCCUAUAGAGAAUAAUGGAAAAGGUAAGGAAUUCAGCUAUGCGGACACUCUUUCAACUCUAACAAGCCAUGGCCAAAAGCUUUCAAAGAGCAUGUAGGUGGAUUGUCUCUGGAAUUGUGUUUUCACAACUUUAGAUCAUGCUUCUCACAUGGAUGGGAAUCUUUGCUUCGGUUUGUAAAGAACAACAUUGCAAAUGGUAGUAAAGAAGUUGCUCUUGCUACACUAGGUUGUUUGCAGUUAACAUUCCUCUCUUAUUCACCCAAGGCUAGUACAUGCCAUCUCGACCACCAGCAAAUGAUCUCACAAACCGAGUCUACAUCCAUUUACAUAUCGAAUGCCCUAGGUUCCUCAUCCAUCCUUAUCAUGGAGGUCCUCAGCCUUACCUUAUACCAACCAUGGAGUACAUGGACCUGUUGGUGGCGUUUCUUAGCGUGGUAGUCAUGGUUUCACUGCUGGUCAGGGGAAUGCAAUUGACAACAACAAUCAUUUAACUAGCAUGAAGAUUGUGAAAGAGGUUCAUAAGCGCAAUGAAGUUUUGAGUUUUUAUUCAAACGUUUAUUAGUUAUUUGUUUUAAAUAUUUAGACUUAGGUUGACACUUAUUUGACAUUUGUUUGAAACAUUUACAUUGUGUGGAAGAUGAUCAAACUUUUAAUUGAA